GAGUUGCGAUGUGUAUUGCAGCGCAGUGCAGCGGCGGCCGGAGCAGUAGAGAAGGUGCUGGGGGUGGGGGGGAUUGAUUGGCGUCAGGAAGGGGAGACCCAUGGAUUUUUGGGUCUGAGACAGGAAUACAGAGUUGGGUCAGCAGGAAGAAUUAUUUGAUGGUGGCAGCACCAAGUAGCCCAUUCUUCUGCACUGUUCCCCAUCCUUUUGCUCCUGUCUUCCUCCAUCAUGCUGUAGCUGCCGGCUAUCCUUUGCCUCCUCAAUGACUGCCUGGAUUAUUCUUCCUGUCAGCCUGUCUGCCUUUUCCAUCACAGGAAUAUGGAUUGUGUAUGCUAUGGCUGUGAUGAACCAUCAUGUUUGUCCAGUAGAGAACUGGUCUUAUAAUGUGACUUGUUCUGAGGAUACCUCUAAACGUGGAUUCCCAAAAAGCUGUUGUACAAUCCAGGAUAUACCUCUCAUUAGCAAGUGUGGCUCAUUUCCUCCAGAAAGCUGUCUCUUCAGUCUAAUUGGAAAUGUUGGAGCAUUCAUGGUGGUCAUGGUCUGUAUGCUUCGAUAUGCUCAGGUCAUUGAAAGAAGUCGCCGCUCCUGGAUAAACACUAUGGGGCUGAUUACUGGCUGCACUAACGCUCUUGGGUUGGUAAUGGUUGGCAACUUUCAGGUGGACCAUGCCAAGUCUCUACAUUACAUUGGAGCAGGAGUUGCCUUUCCAGCUGGACUGCUGUUUGUAGGCCUGCAGUGUGUGCUUACUUAUCGUAUUGCCAUGACGGCUCUGGACUACUGGAUGGCACAUUUGCGUGUUGCUCUCACCAUUGUGGCCUUAUUUUCAUUGGUUCUAAGUGGCAUCUUUUUCAUUCAUGAAAGCUUCCUGCUCCAGCAUGCUGCUGCCGUAUGUGAAUGGAUCUUCACUGUUGACAUCCUGGUAUUCUAUGGGACUUUUACGUACGAGUUUGGUGCUGUCACCAAUGAUACAAUGGUAGUUGGACUGCAGCACCGAGGGCCAGUGAGUGCCAGCAAGGCCUGCAAAUCUCCAGGGAGUAGUAGUACCUCAACACAACUCAACUGCAACCCAGAGAGUAUUGCCAUGUUAUAAUUGCCAUGUAGAAGAAAGACUGUCAUAGGCAACAAACUUGGGCAUAUCCUAAAACACCUUUCAAAGUUAAUAAUUGAAAGGUAGCUGGGAUGUAGAUGCAGAGGCUUCUGUCUUUCAGAGUAGUUAGAUGGGAGCCCAUCAAGAGUCUUCUGAUAGAUGCAGUGCUGUGAAAAGGUCACAAAAAAACAAUUCCAUCCAGUAUGGCAGUGGCGCGUGGUUUAGAAACUGGAUGGGUGGAUCUGACUGACGCCUCAGUGAAAUGAGAUUUUCUGUCACAUCAUUGUCCUGCUGCAUCGACUCGCUAAAGUGCCAACACCAGAAAAAAGUCUGCACAGGACCUGUGAGUGGUCAAAGCUCCAUAACAUUAAGGCAAUUUCUACAUCAAGUUUGGGAGUUAUAAAUCCCAAGUUUUCAAUAAGAAGUGGUUUAUAUACAUUUACAAGUGUAAGUAUUUUUUAUACACAAGUCCACACAUUAACAUUGUCUUAUGGGAAGUAUUUUCUGCAAAAAAGGAGUAAUUUGUGAAACUUUUUUAAGUAAAAUCCCCCUUUCAUCUUUUCAUUUUCCAUACUUAUCUUGGUGUGUCAGUGUCAUAAUUAAAAUGAAAAUGCAAUCUCCACUUUAGAUUUGCUUUUUCUUCCUGAAGUGCAUAAUAACCGCUAAGAUGAAAAUUUAAUAUUUUCUAUUAAGUCACAUAUUGCAGUCUUAGCCACGCCCAUUGACCCUGUGCUAAUUUAAAAUAUAUUUGCACGUUGAGAACUUGAAACUGUAAUGAGCAGCAGGUGGCACCAGUGCUUAUUUCCAUUUGGCUUUUCAUUUUUGCAGCUUUAUUGCUGUUCAGGCUUGCGGCUGAUUUGGCCCUUUUUGGGUUUUCGUUCAAAUUUUGUCACACAUACACUGCAAACCUAAUAGACAAGAAAAUACUGAAUUUUCAUUAUAGCA